UACGUAGGGUGCGAGCGUUAAUCGGAAUUACUGGGCGUAAAGCGUGCGCAGGCGGUUUUGUACGCCAGCUGUGAAAUCCCCGGGCUUAACCUGGGAAUGGCAUUUGGGACUGCAAGGCUUGAGUGCGGCAGAGGAGACUGGAAUUCCUGGUGUAGCAGUGAAAUGCGUAGAUAUCAGGAGGAACACCGAUGGCGAAGGCAGGUCUCUGGGCUGACACUGACGCUCAUGCACGAAAGCGUGGGGAGCAAACAGG
rnacentral:rRNA from 1 species